GCCACAUCUCCCUCGUUUAUAAAAUUAAAACUAUUUUCAACUUUGUAUAAGAAAACACUUGCUUAACCCUGUUCGAGUCCUCCUGUCUCCUCCCCGAGUCCUCACAUCUUUUCUCUCGUUCUCUCUUUUUUUCCUUUCUAUGGAACAUAAUGGUAAAUCGUCUUCCAUUCUCCGUGUUUUCUUCUUUGUUUCCUCUAUAUGGGUGAUUUGGAUUUAGGGAAAUCAAUUGGGGAUUAAUUUUUCAGGGUUCGGGAAUUUGAGAUUGGGGGCUAGGGUUUCGGUCUCAAUUUGAAUUUUGUUAACUGUUAUCCUGUAUAUAUGUUUGACUAAUCUUAGUCCGGAGAUAUGAUUAAAAGCAUUAGCAGGACAACGAGCAUCUUGAAGGCGCAGUUCGUGACGGCGAAGAUGUCAAGAUGCCGGAUCUUGUCGGCGACGGCCACACCAUUGCCCAGAGCCCUUUGUCAAAUUGACAUGAACUACUGCAAACUGUUCUUGAUCUCCGCAUGUGACGACACCUAAAUCAUAGGUUUUUUUUUUUUGUAACUUCCUCCUUUUUUCUCUCUCUCUCUUGAAGAAGAAACUUUUAAAGUUCAAUUUCUUAUGUUUCUUCUCAAGCGAAACGCAAAUUAAGUUUUUGAGCUGAAACUUUAUUCCUAACAAUUUCAUUUAGAUCUGGGUAAUUGUAAAUGAUAUAAGUUCUUGACUAACAUUCAAUAUGAGUAUAAAUACAUAAUAGAUUUGACUAACAUUCAAUAAGAUUUAUCUGUCUUCAUAUGAUUUAGGAGUGAAUUCAAGAAAGAUACGCAUGUUUUCAGUUUGAAACUCAUACAUGAAUGGGGAUGAGAUUGGGCAUAUAUAUAUCUAUAGUCUCAUUAUAUUUAGUUUAAUGUAUGAAAACUAUUUGCAAAUUUGUUGCUUGAACCAGCAGUCUUCAUUUCACAUUGUGCGGGCUAUGCGGAAUUUUCCUGUUGCUUGAUUGUGCUGUCAAAGUUUUGGACACACUGGAGGUUUCGGUUGCUCAUUUGUUCCAUUUGUACCUGCUGCUUGCAUGCUCAUAAAUACCUACCUACUUAGUGAUCUUGGAAUUUAGCUUGUGGUAUGCCUUCAAAAUUUUAUAGUGAUCACGAGUUCAAGGUUAUUUAACAGACUAAGAGCAAGCUCAAGGGUUGAAAUGUUGGAGCAAUUGAGGGAAUUUCUGUCAGUACAAUGGGAAUAUAACCUGAAGGACAUGAAUGAGGAGUUCUAAUCCCCUGUAAAUACUCCCAAAUAAGUGGCGAAGUGACUCAACAUCGAAAAUUCUGGAUCUGCUUUAGAGAAGUAAUGGAAUAGUUUUAUUCUUUAUUUUAUUUAGAUUUGUAUCAAUAUUACACAAGGUAGGAAAACUUGUCCACUGAGACAAUGCAGUAGGUGUGUAACUUUAUGAAUGCCACAUUGUAUUUUGAUUGUUUUGAGAUUAUUAAUGAAAAUAAUGCACUUAUGAUCAAA